rnacentral:lncRNA from 1 species
GUGGUGGCCCUGCUCAUCCCCUUGGUGGCCUUGGUGGCCCUGGACACCUCCUGACCCUUCCUUUGGUGGCCCUGGCCAUCCUGCUGGUGGCCCUGCCCAUCCUCUUGGUGGCCCUGCUCACUCCCAUGGUGGCCUUGGUGGCCCUGGACACCUCCUGACCCUUCCUUUGGUGGCCCUGCUCAUCCUGGUGGUGGCCCUGCUCAUACCCUUGUUGGCCCUGCUCAUUUCCAUGGUGGCCUUGGUGGCCCUGUCCAUCCUGGUGGUGGCCCUGCUCAUUCCCAUGGUGGCCUUGGUGGCCCUGGCCACCUCCUGACCCUUCCUGUGGUAGCCCUGCCCGUCCUGGUGGUGGCCCUGCUCAUCUCCUUGGUGGCCUUGGUGGCCCUGGCCACCUCUUGGCCCUUGUGUGGUGGCCCUGGCCAUCCUGGUGGUGGCCCUGGCCACCUCCUGACCCUAUUUGUGGUGGCCCUGCCUGUCCCGGUGGUGGCCCUGCUCAUCCCCAUGAUGGCCUUGGUGGCCCUGGCCACCUCUUGGCCCUUGCGUGGUGGCCCUGGCCAUCCUGGUGGUGGCCCUGGUGGGCCUGCUCGUCGCCUUGGUGGCCCUGGCCACCUCUUGGCCCUUGCGUGGUGGCCCUGGCCAUCCUGGUGGUGGCCCUGGUGGGCCUGCUCGUCGCCUUGGUGGCCCUGGCCACCUCCUGGCCCUUCCUCUUGUGGCCCUGCCCUUCCUGUGGUGGCCCUGUCCUUCCUGGUGGUGGCCCUGGUCCUUCCCAUUGUGGCCUUGGUGGCCCUGGCCACCUCCUGCCUCUUCCUGUGGUGGCCCUGGUCCUUCUCAUGGUGGUCUUGGUGGCCCUGGCCACCUCCUGACCCUUUUUGUGGUGGCCCUGCCUGUCCUGGUGGUGGCCCUGACCAUUCCUGGUGGUGGCCUUGGUGGCCCUGCUCGUCCCCUUGGUGGCCCUGGCCACCUCCUGGCCCUUCCUCUUGUGGCCCUGCCCUUCCUGUGGUGGCCCUGUCCUUCCUGGUGGUGGCCCUGGUCCUUCCCAUUGUGGCCUUGGUGGCCCUGGCCCCCUCCUGACCCUUUUUGUGGUGGCCCUGCCUGUCCUGGUGGUGGCCCUGACCAUUCCUGGUGGUGGCCUUGGUGGCCCUGGUGGCCCUGGCCACCUCCUGACCCUUCCUGUGGUGGCCCUGGUCCUUCCCAUGGUGGCCUUGGUGGCCCUGACCAUCCUGAUGGUGGCCCUGCUCAUCCCUUUGGUGGCCUUGGUGCUUCUGGACACCUCCAGGCCCUUCCUCUGGUGGCCCUACUCAUCCUAGUGGUGGCCUUGGUGGCCCUGUCCAUCCUGGUGGUGGCCCUGCUCAUCCUGGUGGUGGCCUUGGUGGCCCUGACCAUUCCUGAUGGUGGCCCUGCUCAUCCUGAUGGUGGCCCUGGUCCUUCCCAUGGUGGCCUUGGUGGCCCUGGCCACCUCCUGACCCUAUUUGUGGUGGCCCUGACCAUCUUGGUGGUGGCCCUGCCCGUCCUGAUGGUGACCAUCCCUUGGCUGUCCCUGUGGUGGCCCCUGGUGGCCUUUGGUGGCCACGUGGUGACCUUUGGUGGCCCCUGGUGGCCCCUUGGUGGCCCCUGGUGCCCCGUGGUGGCCCCUGAUGGCCUUUGGUGGCCCCUGGUGGCCCCUGGUGGCCCCUGGUGGCCUUUGGUGGCCCCGUGUCCCCUCCUCUUCCUCCUCCGGUUUCGUUGGUUUGACGCACUCGACCCAAAGUUGGUUUGGCAGAAUU